GCCUGUCAGGAACGCGGCUACCUCCUCCCAGCCGCCUACUGAAGGUGUUUUGCAAGGGCACCUCCUCCCGCCCUUGCAACUCGUGUUGAGCCGGACCGCUACCUCCUCCCAGCGGUCCGGCUUUUCU
rnacentral:sRNA from 1 species